UAGGGAAUCUUCCGCAAUGGGCGAAAGCCUGACUGAGCAACGCCGCGUGAGUGAUGAAGGUCUUCGGAUCGUAAAACUCUGUUAUUAGGGAAGAACAAAUGUGUAAGUAACUAUGCACGUCUUGACGGUACCUAAUCAGAAAGCCACGGCUAACUACGUGCCAGCAGCCGCGGUAAUACGUAGGUGGCAAGCGUUAUCCGGAAUUAUUGGGCGUAAAGCGCGCGUAGGCGGUUUUUUAAGUCUGAUGUGAAAGCCCACGGCUCAACCGUGGAGGGUCAUUGGAAACUGGAAAACUUGAGUGCAGAAGAGGAAAGUGGAAUUCCAUGUGUAGCGGUGAAAUGCGCAGAGAUAUGGAGGAAAACCAGUGGCGAAGGCGACUUUCUGGUCUGUAACUGACGCUGAUGUGCGAAAGCGUGGGGAUCAAACAGG
rnacentral:rRNA from 1 species